rnacentral:lncRNA from 9 species
ACCCUCUGCCCCCACAGGUGUUAUUAACUUUCCUCUUUGAGUCGAGGGAGGUGAAGCUCCAACAGGAUUGACUGUGAACUCGGGGCUUGGAAUGGACCCUCUUAGAACUUCAUUCGCUCCUUGACUCGCUCUAUGGCCGCCCAAGGCUCCAAAGCUGUGAAAUUUGGCAGAAUAAUUAGGACUGAGAACCCGACCAAGCUGUUGUGAGGAGAAGGUGGGCGGGCCCAUCCCUAAGGCCAAGUGCUCUGGAAAGGCAAAUACGGGAAAGGUGGAGAAACUAGGUUGUGGGUCUGUCUGCUGAUGGUCAUCAGUGAUUCUGCACAGAUGUCUCCUUCCCCACCUACUCUGUGGUGCAGAGUGCUAUCUGGAGGAUAUAGCAAACAUUGUCAUGCCAUGGAUCUUGAAGUAUAGAAACAACUUCCUAAAGAUGGUGCACUGGCAAGAUAGGAACCUUAGUUUCUGAUGACACUCUGUAGAUGCCCUAUCAGCCCUGGAUGGCCUACAUCCUUUGAACUUGUUUUAGGUAAGAGAGAAAUAUAUUUCUAUUUAGUUUAAAUGAUUAUUUUAAAUGUUCUCUUAUAUGCAGACAGACUUAAUUCUGAUAUAGAUACUUAGGCUGAUUCUAAUUUUCUGCUGUUAUAAACUAUGCUGCAAUUAGCAUACUUGUCCAAACAUCUCUGCACAUUUGAGAAAUUUUUGAAUGUCUAAAAGUUGAAUUGUCAGUUAAAAGAUUUAUGAACAAUUUUUAUUGUCUUGUGAAAUAUCUUCCCAACUUGGGAAGACAUUCUUAAUGGGGAUAUUCUUGGAAAAUGAACAAAUGGAGUGGGAAAAUGUGGGACACUAAGUGAAAGCAUGAUACUGGGAUAUGGUUGACAUAACAUGGCAAAUGUAAAUGAGAGCCAGAUAUUCCCAUGUCAAGUUAAAAAUCCAUUCUACUAUUCCCUUUACUAGGAUGGCUGAGUCAAAUUCAAAAAUAUAAAAAAUAACCCAAUAAAACAGUUGCAUUUCAGGCUGUUGCAGAUUCUUAAGACAUUCAUUUGAUUGUAAAGCAGUAGGUAGACACACACACACACACACACACAAACACAUGCUACUAUGCUGGAUUUAUUUCCUUCCAUGAUCCUUAGUUAACUCUGGAUUAUUGGGAGAUUAUUAUUGUUAGAUUAUUUUUAGAUUAUGUAAAAAAGUGGUAAG